UACGUAGGGUGCGAGCGUUGUCCGGAAUUAUUGGGCGUAAAGAGCUCGUAGGCGGUGUGUCACGUCGGCCGUGAAAACCUGGGGCUUAACUCUGGGCGUGCGGUCGAUACGGGCAUCACUAGAGUUCGGCAGGGGAGACUGGAAUUCCUGGUGUAGCGGUGAAAUGCGCAGAUAUCAGGAGGAACACCGGUGGCGAAGGCGGGUCUCUGGGCCGAUACUGACACUGAGGAGCGAAAGCAUGGGUAGCGAACAGG
rnacentral:rRNA from 1 species